rnacentral:rRNA from 1 species
CCUACGGGGGGCAGCAGUAAGGAAUAUUGGUCAAUGGAGGCAACUCUGAACCAGCCAUGCCGCGUGCAGGAUGAAGGUCCUAUGGAUUGUAAACUGCUUUUGUACGGGAGAAAACCCUGGUACGUGUACCAGGUUGAUAGUACUGUAAGAAUAAGGAUCGGCUAACUUCGUGCCAGCAGCCGCGGUAAGACGAAGGAUCCAAGCGUUAUCCGGAUUCAUUGGGUUUAAAGGGUGCGUAGGCGGGUUUGUAAGUCAGUGGUGAAAUCCUAUCGCUU